UGGAAGACAGAAAUAAAUGGAUAAAAACCAAAAGACACAUUAAUGAAAUGUUUACAACAACAAAAACAAAAGUAGUGAUGGAAUAUUAACAUACAUAACUAGUAGUAUUUUUUAUCAUGUUCCCUAGAAGCACAUCGCAUUAUCACAUUAAUUUAUUCUUUCUCUCUUUCUGUCUCUCUUUUUCUGUCUUUCUUCGCCUGUCUGCAUGUAGUAAACACUCUGUCCGCAUGGGAGAGCCAAGUAAUUUAUCCAAAAUUGCCAGUAACUUGGUGACUAACAAUGUUUAUUUCAAAGGUGCAAUCUUACUAGUCUCACCUGGCUGGAAACUCAAAAUCCAUGCUCCAGACAGCUGUAUCAGUAAGGAUUUCCACCAUUUUAUCGAAAAUGCUAAAUAUUGGCAGUGCCAAGGACGUCUGAAGAUGGUAAACCAUUCCUCCACAAAACCACAGCUCCCCUGCGACCCAGGUGCUGGUAAAGGGUAACAACGUAGGAGGCCCAAUCCCCUCGCGCUUCUCAGGGUCCCCGGCUUUCCGCCCCUGUGCCAGACGACGGCGUCCUAACGGCCACCCUCUCCCAGGAACCUCCAACGACGGCGCCAAAGCCACAGGAGCCGCCUCCCACCUGAGGCCCGCACGCCAUGUUCUCCCUUUUCCCGACCCGUAGGGGCGCCCCACUUUGGCCAUGCGCUUCCCGCCCGCACUCGCCGCGCAGCCAUGAGGGGCGGGCCUCAACUCACCGUGGCCAAUACGGACCGCUGGCGCGGGGUCUCUGAGGGAGCGAAGCGGCGAGCGGGCUGCAGGCCGAGCAGGGCCAUGCGGCGGUAGUGGCGGCAGACAGGACAGAGCCCUGGCAGGAGAGGCACAGCACGUCAGGUGAGACAAAGACAGACGUGGCCAGGGGGACAGCACACGUGAGGUGAGGCCACGUGGUGCGAGCUCCAGGGCUGGUGAGGCAGCUGGUUUGCGCAGGCACCCCAGCCACGAGGUGGCGCCCUGCCCUCGCCCUGCCCCGACCCUUCCGCCCAGCACCCUCUGCUCUGCUCUGCCCCUUCUGCUCAGCACCCCCUGCUUUAACCUGCUUUUUCCAUUCAGCGUCCCCUGCGGCCUCCCAGCCCUCAUUCACCUCACUUUCCACCCGCAAUGUCCUACCCACUAAAAAACUCUCUUGCCACCCUACCCUGGGCCCGAACCCCACCCCACACUAAUUAUCUCUUUUCUCCCGGGUAAGGUGAGGGACUUGGCACCCCUGCCCCCUCCCUUUGUCUUCCUCUUUACCUAUGCUUCAUAUGCCUCUCAACAUGCCCUGGCAUUGGCAGAGUUUAUAGCACACUGUUCGCUAAUGAGAAUUAAAUCUUCCGUAAAAUGUCUAUAUGUUAAUUCUUAACACUGAAAACCAAGAACAAGUUUUUGUAGUCUGCUGAUGAUGUAAAAAAUAUUCAUGGUAGGGUCAAAUAGUGUUUGGACCCAGUAGAGAAGGUGAUGUAGUUAUCUGUCACUAAAGCUAAUUUUCUUAUCAUUUAUUUAUUUAUUUUUGUAAAGACGGGUCUCACUGUCACCCAGGCUGAUCUCAAACUCCUGGGAUCAAGCCAUCCUCUUGCCUCGGCCUCCCAAAGUUCUGGGAUUACCGGCAUGAGGCACUGUGCCUAGCCUCUCUUGAGGGAAAAGUAAAUAUGUUGUGAUUUUUAAAUUUAGUACUGUAAUAAACCUUUAUCCACUACAAAAAAAAGUCAGUAAUAUUUCAUGUGUGGACUAACAAGUAUACUUGUCAAACAAUGCUAUACCUCCAAGUUCACAGUUCACCUGUUUUAAACUUUAAAUACACAAAAAAAUCCUGAUUGGUCACAUAGAAAAAAAUAAAUAAGUAAAUUACUGUCUAAAGUCACUUGCAAAAAAAAUUGUUUUGUAUGUACUGUGUUCUCUUCAAAGAGUUUUACAUGCAUCAACUAAUUUAAUCUUUAUAAUAAUCCUAUAAGAUAGAAUUUUUUCUCACCAUUUUACACAAGGAAAGUAAGACUAAGAAAGUUCCAAGUUAGUGCAGCAUUUAUGGGCAGAGCUGGGAGAGAAAUCAGGACAGUGCAGUGACAGAGUCUAUAAACUACUCAGCCUUUGGGCUUCAGGGACAAGUCUUGGAUUUCUUCUUUUUUUUUUAACUUACAAUAAUAUCAAUAUAAAAAACAAACAUUACCAAGUGUUUGUUAUGAGAAAUGUGCGGCUA
rnacentral:lncRNA from 1 species